GAUGAACGCUGGCGGCGUGCCUAAUACAUGCAAGUCGAGCGAACAGACGAGGAGCUUGCUCCUCUGACGUUAGCGGCGGACGGGUGAGUAACACGUGGAUAACCUACCUAUAAGACUGGGAUAACUUCGGGAAACCGGAGCUAAUACCGGAGAAUAUAUUGAACCGCAUGGUUCAAUAGUGAAAGACGGUUUUGCUGUCACUUAUAGAUGGAUCCGCGCCGCAUGAGCUAGUUGGUAAGGUAACGGCUUACGAAGGCAACGAUGCGUAGCCGAACGGAGAGGGUGAUCGGCCACCCUGGAACUGAGCCACGGUCCAGACGACUACGGGAGGCAGCAGUAGGGAAUCUGCCGCAAUGGGCGAAAGCCUUACGGAGCAGCGCCGCGUGAGUGAUGAAGGUCUUCGGAUCGUAAAACUCUGUUAUUAGGGAAGAACAAAUGUGUCAGUAACUAUGCACGUCUUGACGGUACCUAAUCAGAAAGCCACGGCUAACUACGUG
rnacentral:rRNA from 1 species